rnacentral:rRNA from 1 species
CGCGCGCAGGUGGUUUCUUAACUCUGAUGUGAAAGCCCACGCGCUCAACCGUGGAGGGUCAUUGGAAACUGGGAGACUUGAGUGCAGAAGAGGAAAGUGGAAUUCCAUGUGUAGCGGUGAAAUGCGUAGAGAUAUGGAGGAACACCAGUGGCGAAGGCGACUUUCUGGUCUGUAACUGACACUGAGGCGCGAAAGCGUGGGGAGCAAACAGGAUUAGAUACCCUGGUAGUCCACGCCGUAAACGAUGACUGCUAAGUGUUAGAGGGUUUCCGCCCUUUAAUGCUGAAGUUAACGCAUUAAGCACUCCGCCUGGGGAGUACGGCCGCAAGGCUGAAACUCAGAGGAAUUGACGGGCGCCCGCACAAGCGGUGCAACAUGUGUUUUACU